rnacentral:lncRNA from 8 species
UGUGUGUGUGUGUGUGUGUGUGUGUGUGUUUUACUGAAUCACUGUUCUGCUUCUUGUGCAGUGUUGACCACUGUGGAGAGUACUGGCUGCUGAAAAAAUAUGCCUGUGAUGUCACACUGGACCCGAACACAGCAUACAGAAACCUCUCUCUGUCAGAGGGGAACAGGAAGGUGACGUGGGGGAGAGAGGAGCAGCCGUAUCCUGAUNNNNNNNNNNNNNNNNNNNNNNNNNNNNNNNNNNNNCCUGCCUCCUCGUCCAACAGAGUAGGAGUGUAUCUGGACUGGCCAGCCGGCACUCUGUCCUUCUACAGCGUCUCCUCUGACACACUGACCCACCUGAUCACAUUCACCUCCACGUUCACUGAGCCCCUCUAUCCAGGGUUUAGGGUUGAAAUAAACUCCUCAUUGUCCCUAUGUGAGGUAAAAACCUUUAGUUAGUAAAGGACGGUUCUUGUUGUUAUUGAUUGGUGUUUGUAAAUAAUGUUUAUUUAGUCAAAUUGUUGACAUUACAAUCCUGAUUCUGUUUGAACUCAAUAACACUGAAUGGAACUUUCCUGGUAAACGUUUGGUCAGAUAAAGACCAAUAAAACUGGUUGUUUUAAAAACAGUUAAAUGUUGUUGUGUUUUCACAUAAAAGAAGAAUGACAGUUAAAGUUGAAAUCUGUAGCGGUGAAACUGCCACGUUUGUUAACGAUAUUACAACAACAAAAAGGUCACUUCAAACAACGAAAACAGUUUGUUCCCUUUAGACAUCAUUGCACAACAGCAGAGUCUGGACUACCGUUAUUUCCCCAUGAUGCUGGUGUGAUAUAACAGCAGAGUCUGGACUACCGUUAUUUCCCCAUGAUGCUGGUGUGAUAUAACAGCAGAGUCUGGACUACCGUUAUUUCCCCAUGAUGCUGGUGUGAUAUAACAGCAGAGUCUGGACUACCGUUAUUUCCCCAUGAUGCUGGUGUGAUAUAACAGCAGAGUCUGGACUACCGUUAUUUCCCCAUGAUGCUGGUGUGAUAUAACAGCAGAGUCUGGACUACCGUAAUUAUCCCCAUGAUGCUGGUGUGAUAUAACAGCAGAGUCUGGACUACCGUUAUUUCCCCAUGAUGCUGGUGUGAUAUAACAGCAGAGUCUGGACUACCGUAAUUUUCCCCAUGAUGCUGGUGUGAUAUAACAGCAGAGUCUGGACUACCGUAAUUUUCCCCAUGAUGCUGGUGUGAUAUAACAGCAGAGUCUGGACUACCGUUAUUUCCCCAUGAUGCUGGUGUGAUAUAACAGCAGAGUCUGGACUACCGUAAUUUUCCCCAUGAUGCUGGAGUGAUAUAACAGCAGAGUCUGGACUACCGUUAUUUCCCCAUGAUUCUGGUGUGAUAUAACGGCAGAGUCUGGACUACCGUUAUUUUCCCCAUGAUGCUGGUGUGAUAUAACAACAGUCUGGACUACCGUAAUUUUCCCCAUGAUGCUGGUGUGAUAUAACAGCAGAGUCUGGACUACCGUUAUUUUCCCCAUGAUGCUGGUGUGAUAUAACAACAGUCUGGACUACCGUUAUUUUCCCCAUGAUGCUGGUGUGAUAUAACAGCAGAGUCUGGACUACCGUAAUUUUCCCCAUGAUGCUGGUGUGAUAUAACAGCAGAGUAUGGAAAACCGUAAUUUUCCCCAUGAUGCUGGUGUGAUAUAACAGCAGAGUCUGGACUACCGUAAUUUUCCCCAUGAUGCUGGUGUGAUAUAACAGCAGAGUCUGGACUACCGUAAUUUUCCCCAUGAUGCUGGUGUGAUAUAACAACAGUCUGGACUACCGUUAUUUCUCCAUGAUGCUGGUGUGAUAUAACAGGACUACCGUAAUUUAGUUAUUAUGUAAACAAUAACAUGCACCUGGGGCGACCAGUGGCUCUCUUUCACAAUCCCAGCUUUAAGAAAAUGUGGUACAGUGUUUGGUGGAAAAGUAUAUCCUCUUCCACAGAAACUGCCAUCACACACACACACACAAACACAAACACACACACACAAUGUGUCCGGAACAUAAACGUAUCACACCACACACUCAUACAUGUAGAAUAGGUGAUCUAUCUCUAUCUAUAUUAGUUGCUAUGCUGUUACUAAGCAGUAAUGUAUUAUGGCAGUGUUAUGUUACGGCACCUAAUAGGAAGUGUCCACGCGCAUUAUUGGGCCGGGGGCUGUGGCGCACGAGAUGUUUUUACUAAACAAUACUAAACUGUUACUCACGUCUCCUGCCUGGUGAUUUUUCUCCACAACACAAAUAUUACAACAAACACUGUGAGACAGAUCAAAAAUAGCUGUUCAUACAGGUCUUUUAGACAUGAGGAAAGGACAGAGAGCAGAACCUCAACAUAAACCGUAAGUUGCUGUUCAUACAGGUCUUUUAGACAUGAGGAAAAUACAGAGAGCAGAACCUCAACAUAAACCGUAAGUUGCUGUUCAUACAGGUCUUUUAGACAUGAGGAAAAGACAGAGAGCAGAACCUCAACAUAAACCGUAAGUUGCUGUUCAUACAGGUCUUUUAGACAUGAGGAAGACAGAGAGCAGAACCUCAACAUAAACCGUAAGUUGCUGUUCAUACAGGUCUUUUAGACAUGAGGAAAAGACAGAGAGCAGAACCUCAACAUAAACCGUAAGUUGCUGUUAAUACAAGUCUUUUAGACAUGAGGAAAGGACAGAGAGCAGAACCUCAACAUAAACCGUAAGUUGCUGUUCAUACAGGUCUUUUAGACAUGAGGAAGACAGAGAGCAGAACCUCAACAUAAACCGUAAGUUGCUGUUCAUACAGGUCUUUUAGACAUGAGGAAAAGACAGAGAGCAGAACCUCAACAUAAACCGUAAGUUGCUGUUAAUACAAGUCUUUUAGACAUGAGGAAAGGACAGAGAGCAGAACCUCAACAUAAACCGUAAGUUGCUGUUCAUACAGGUCUUUUAGACAUGAGGAAAAGACAGAGAGCAGAACCUCAACAUAAACCGGAAGUUGCUGUUCAUACAGGUCAUUUAGACAUGAGGAAAAGACAGAGCAGAACCUCAACAUAAACCGUAAGUUGCUGUUCAUACAGGUCUUUUAGACAUGAGGAAAAGACAGAGAGCAGAACCUCAACAUAAACCGUAAGUUGCUGUUCAUACAGGUCUUUUAGACAUGAGGAAAGGACAGACAGCAGUACCUCAGCCCAAAACCGUAAGUUGCUGUUCAUUGAACAUUCAUUGAACAUAUUUUCUGUGUUUGUUUGUGUGAUCUGGUUUGUCUAUACCAGUGGUCUAUCUAUACCAGUGGUCUGUCUGUACCAGUGGUCUGUCUGUACCAGUGGUCUGUCUGUACCAGUGAUAUUUCUAUACCAGUGGUUUGUCUAAACCAGUGGUUCCUAACUGUGGGGACCCACUUCUGGGUUGUGGCACUGGCAAGGGUCGAGGUGGGUCGACCUUUUUAGUGCAUCGUUAAACAUAAUUUCAUUAUUAUACAGUCAAUUUCUUAAUAUUGGUCAGAAGAGCCCAUACCAUACCCAUAAAUCUGCAUUCAGUUUACUGUUUCUACCAAAAGGGUUUUAUUAAUAAAUGUUUGACAUAUUAUUUGGUCUAUGUUUUUUCACCUCUCUACUGAGUCAUUUCUACAGUUGUAGUUGUAAAGGAGGAAAUACCAUAGCUGUCUGGUCCCUGGUAUACAAAGGGUUGAGAAACACUGUUCUAACAGGUCCUGACUCCUGGGAUCGUAUUGUUAGUAA